UACGAACUGUGCAAACGUUAUUCGGAAUCACUGGGCUUCAAGGGUGCGUAGGCGGCUAUCUAAGCAGGGUGUGAAAGCCCCCGGCUCAACCGGGGAAUUGCGUUCUGAACUGGAUGGCUGGAGUGAGAUAGGGGUGUGUGGAACUUCCGGUGGAGCGGUGAAAUGUGGUGAUAUCGGAAGGAACGCCGGUGGCGAAAGCGACCCACUGGGUCUCAACUGACGCUGAGGCACGAAAGCCAGGGGGGCGAACGGG
rnacentral:rRNA from 1 species